GACGAACCGUGCAAACGUUAUUCGGAAUCACUGGGCUUAAAGGGCGCGUAGGCGGGCCGCCCGGUCCGGGGUGAAAGCCUCCAGCUUAACUGGAGAAGUGCCUUGGAUACAGGCGGCCUCGAGGGAGGCAGGGGCGUGCGGAACUUCGGGUGGAGCGGUGAAAUGCGUAGAUAUCCGAAGGAACACCGGUGGCGAAAGCGGCGCGCUGGACCUCUUCUGACGCUGAGGCGCGAAAGCCAGGGGAGCAAACGGG
rnacentral:rRNA from 1 species